GACGAACGCUGGCGGCGUGCUUAACACAUGCAAGUCGAACGGAAAGGCCCUGCUUUUGUGGGGUGCUCGUGUGGCGAACGGGUGAGUAACACGUGAGUAACCUGCCCUUGUCUUUGGGAUAACUUCAGGAAACUCGGGCUAAUACCGGAUAGGAUCUCCUGCUGCAUGGUGGGGGUUGGAAAGUUUCGGCGGUUUGGGAUGGACUCGCGGCUUAUCAGCUUGUUGGUGGGGUAGUGGCUUACCAAGGCUUUGACGGGUAGCCGGCCUGGGAGGGUGACCGGGCACAAUGGGACUGAGGUACGGCCCAGACUCCAACGGGAGGCAGCAGUGGGGAAUAUUGCACAAUGGGGGGAAGCGUGAUGCAGCAACGCCGCGUGCGGGAUGACGGGCUACGGGUUGUAAACAGAUUUGGAAUGAGACGAAGAGAGAGUGACGGUAAUGGGUAAAGAAGCACCGGCUAACUACGUG
rnacentral:rRNA from 1 species